CGAGCUAAGGAGCUGCUCUGUGCCCGGCUUACAGAACUGGAAGGGGUAGCCACCUUCCGCCUGAUGGAGGCUGGAGAACGGAUGGAACCUGGAUCCCUGGAGCCUGGGACACUACCUCGCUGCGGUUGGUGGUGGCCACAGACCAGUAGGAGGGCGGCUGGCAGCGGGAGCUUCUUCUGCCGGGCUGGAGGAUUAGGAGAAGGAAGAGGGAACGCCACAUGCUGGAGGCUGGAGCCUGUGCCACCGUGGCUCACCUCGCUGUGGUUGGUGGCAGCUCGCCUUGCUGUGGUUGGUGGUGACGUCGGAGACUGCAGCUCGGCCACAGUGGUAGAAAUGUGUUGGGGUAGCUUUUGCUGUGUUGGGCACUUGCUCCCAUCUGCUUUCUUCUCUAGAAUCCACUGCCCUAGAAUGAGUAAUUUUUCUUAGAAGCAGAGUUGGAACCACUGAGGAAGCACAGGUGAGCCCUCCCCAGCACACACUCGCUAGUCCCCAACAGA
rnacentral:lncRNA from 1 species